CUUCGGAGGAGUUAGCGAAAUUCCAAUGUGUGCGGAUCGGCAAAAAAUGCGAAAUAGCCCUUUCACCGUACAUUUGACAGAUACGCCCGCACUGACUUUUUUGUAGAUCUUAUUGAGAUACAUGUGUGUGUCAAUUUUUGUGUCAAUAUGACAAAGCGUAAAGGCGUGACAGUCAAUAGUGUGAAUUUUCGCCUUAGGAGACAAGAAAAAAUGGACUUUUUUCUCCUGCCAUGGGGGGCGCUCUUUUGGGGAGUAAAAAUUCCUUCACAAAUGUGUUGAUGGCUGGACAUUGCAUCAUCCUAGAAAACUUGGAGGCCAGUGAGGACAAAAAUAAAAAGUUAUACGACUUUUAAGAAUGUGGAUUUCUGGGUUAUCUUUGGCGCCCCCUAGAACGUAAACCGUGGGAUGCAGCGUCAUGAUUUGUACAACUUUUAAUGGCCAUGGGGUGUAGAUUGGCCUGAGCAAAUUUGGUGCCGGUGGAACGAAAGCCUUCGGAGGAGUUAGCGAAAUUCCAAUGUGUGCGGAUCGGCAAAAAAUGCGAAAUAGCCCUUUAACCGUACAUCUGACAGAUACGCCCGCACUGACUUUUUUGUAGAUCUUAUUGAGAUACACGUGUGUGUCAAAUUUUGUGUCAUUUUGACAAAGCGUACAGGCGUGACACUCAAUCAUGUGAAUUUUUCACCUUAGGGGGCGCUAUGGAGCCAUUUUGCAUUUGAUUUUUUGGGCGACUUCAGAAUAUCGAAUUUUUCACCAGGCCCGGUCGUCCUGCCAAAUUUCAUGACUUUUCACCAGUGGGAAGUGGGCCAUUUUCCAGUUCAAAGGGGCAGAAAAAUAAUAAUAAGAACUAGGGCCCCGUUGGGGCACUGGCGGGCCCGAGCCAUGUCACGCCGCCCUCAGCGCGACCGCCUCCCCCACCCGAUCGCGUCACACUCAAGGUCCAAAGAUGGUGUGCGCACUUGUUUGUGGUCAUUUACCAUUAUAAUGAACGGGAGGCGCAGUUUCUACCAAAACGCUCGCUGCAGAAAAACUCCAUGUCCUAUUUGAAAAAAGUCUGGACCAUGAGUGAGGGCACAAACACAGCUAAGAUAUAUCCAAAUGGCAAGUUGCUCCUCCUUUCGCUUUUGCCGAGAGAGCAGUGCGUUUGAGCCAUUGAAUGAUGAACAGGAAAAACUUGACUUUAUUCUCCUGCCAUGGGGGGUGCUCUUUUAACGAGAAAAAACUCCUUCACAAAUGUGUUGAUGGCUGGACAUUGCAUCAUCCUAGAAAACAUGGAGGCCAGUGAGGACAAAAAUAAAAAGUUAUAAGACUUUUAAAUAUGUGGAUCUUAGGGUUAUCUUUGGCGCCCCCUAGAACCUAAACCGUGGGGUGCAGCGUCAUGAUUUGAAUAACUUUUAAUGGCCAUGGGGUGUAGAUUGGCCUGAGCAAAUGUGGUGCCGGUGGAACGAAAGCCUUCGGAGGAUUAAGCGAAAUUCCAAUGUGUGCGAAUCUGCAAAAAAUGCGAAAUAACCCUUUAACCGUACAUUUUACAGAUACGUGGCCAUUGACUUUUUCGAAGAUCUUAUUGAAAUACACGUGUAUGUAAAAUUUUGUGUCAAUACGACAAAACAUACAGGCGUAGCACUCAACAAUGUGUAUUUUCACCUUAGUGGACAAGAAAAAAUGGACUUUUUUCUCCUGCCAUGGGGGGGGCGCUCUUUUGGCGAGUAAAAAUUCCUUCACAAAUGUGUUGAUGGCUGGACAUUGCAUCAUCCUAGAAAACUUGGAGGCCAGUGGGGACAAAAAUAAAAAGUUAUAAGACUUUUAAAUAUGUGGAUUUUACGGUUAUCUUUGGCGCCCCCUAGAACCUAAACCGUGGGGUGCAGCGUCAUGAUUUGAAUAACUUUUAAUGGCCAUGGGGUGUAGAUUGGCCUGAGCAAAUGUGGUGCCGGUGGAACGAAAGCCUUAGGAGGAGUUAGCGAAAUUCCAAUGUGUGCGGAUCGGCAAAAAAUGCGGAAUAACCCUUUAACCGUACAUUUGACAGAUACGCGCGCAUUGACUUUUUCGUAGAUCUUAUUGAGAUACAUGUGUGUGUCAAUUUUUGUGUCAUUUUGCCAAAGCGUACAGGUGUUACACUCAACAAUGUGUAUUCUCACCUUAAGGGACAAGAAAAAAUGGACUUUUUUCUCCUGCCAUGGGGGGGCGCUCUUUUGGGGAGUAAAAAUUCCUUCACAAAUGUGUUGAUGGCUGGACAUUGCAUCAUCCUAGAAAACUUGGAGGCCAGUGAGGGCAAAAAUAAAAAGUUAUAAGACUUUUAAAUAUGUGGAUCUUAGGGUUAUCUUUGGCGCCCCCUAGAACCUAAACCGUGGGGUGCAGCAUCAUGAUUUGAAUAACUUUUAAUGGCCAUGGGGUGUAGAUUGGCCUGAGCAAAUGUGGUGCCGGUGGAACGAAAGCCUUCGGAGGAGUUAGCGAAAUUGCAAUGUGUGCGGAUCGGCAAAAAAUGCGAAAUAACCCUUUAACCGUACAUUUGACAGAUACGCCCGCACUGACUUUUUUGUAGAUCUUAUUGAGAUACAUGUGUGUGUCAAUUUUUGUGUCAUUUUGACAAAACAUACAGGCGUGACAGUCAAUAGUGUGAAUUUUAACCUUAGGGGGCGCUAUGGAGCCAUUUUGCAUUUUCUUGUUUGGGUGACUUCAGAAUAUCAAAUUUUUCACCAGGCCCGGUCGUCCUGCCAAAUUUCAUGAGUUUUCGCCAGUGGGAAGUGGGCCAUUUUCCAGUUCAAAGGGGAGGAAAAAUAAUAAUAAUAAUAAUAACAAAAGAAGGAAACAUGCAGGAACAAGAGGGCUCUCGCAGCUGCUUAGCAGCUACGCUCGGGCCCUAAGAAGAAGAACUAGGGCCCCGUUGGGGCACUGGCGGGCCCGAGCCGUGUCACGCCGCCCCCAGCGCGACCGCCUCCCCCACCCGAUCGCGUCACACUCAAGGUCCAAAGAUGGUGUGCGCACUUGUUUGUGGUCAUUUACCAUUAUAAUGAACGGGAGGCGCAGUUUCUACCAAAACGCUCGCUGCAGAAAAACUCCAUGUCCUAUUUGAAAAAAGUCUGGACCAUGAGUGAGGGCACAAACACAGCUAAGAUAUAUCCAAAUGGCAAGUUGCUCCUCCUUUCGCUUUUGCCGAGAGAGCAGUGCGUUUGAGCCAUUGAAUGAUGAACAGGAAAAACUUGACUUUAUUCUCCUGCCAUGGGGGGGCGCUCUUUUAAAAAGAAAAAACUCCUUCACAAAUGUGUUGAUGGCUGGACAUUGCAUCAUCCUAGAAAACAUGGAGGCCAGUGAGGACAAAAAUAAAAAGUUAUAAGACUUUUAAAUAUGUGGAUUUUAGGGUUAUCUUUGGCGCCCCCUAGAACCUAAACCGUGGGGUGCAGCGUCAUGAUUUGAAUAACUUUUAAUGGCCAUGGGGUGUAGAUUGGCCUGAGCAAAUGUGGUGCCGGUGGAACGAAAGCCUUCGGAGGAAUUAGCGAAAUUCCAAUGUGUGCGAAUCUGCAAAAAAUGCGAAAUAACCCUUUAACCGUACAUUUUACAGAUACGUGGCCAUUGACUUUUUCGAAGAUCUUAUGUAAAUACACGUGUAUGUAAAAUUUUGUGUCAAUACGACAAAACAUACAGGCGUAGCACUCAACAAUGUGUAUUUUCACCUUAGUGGACAAGAAAAAAUUGACUUUUUUCUCCUGCCAUGGGGGGGCGCUCUUUUGCCGAGUAAAAAUUCCUUCACAAAUGUGUUGAUGGCUGGACAUUGCAUCAUCCUAGAAAACUUGGAGGCCAGUGGGGACAAAAAUAAAAAGUUCUAAGACUUUUAAAUAUGUGGAUUUUACGGUUAUCUUUGGCUCCCCCUAGAACCUAAACCGUGGGGUGCAGCGUCAUGAUUUGAAUAACUUUUAAUGGCCAUGGGGUGUAGAUUGGCCUGAGCAAAUGUGGUGCCGGUGGAACGAAAGCCUUCGGAGGAGUUAGCAAAAUUCCAAUGUGUGCGGAUCGGCAAAAAAUGCGGAAUAACCCUUUAACCGUACAUUUGACAGAUACGCGCGCAUUGACUUUUUCGUAGAUCUUAUUGAGAUACAUGUGUGUGUCAAUUUUUGUGUCAUUUUGCCAAAGCGUACAGGUGUUACACUCAACAAUGUGUAUUUUCACCUUAGGGGACAAGAAAAAAUGGACUUUUUUCUCCUGCCAUGGGGGGGCGCUCUUUUGGGGAGUAAAAAUUCCUUCACAAAUGUGUUGAUGGCUGGACAUUGCAUCAUCCUAGAAAACUUGGAGGCCAGUGAGGGCAAAAAUAAAAAGUUAUAAGACUUUUAAAUAUGUGGAUCUUAGGGUUAUCUUUGGCGCCCCCUAGAACCUAAACCGUGGGGUGCAGCGUCAUGAUUUGAAUAACUUUUAAUGGCCAUGGGGUGUAGAUUGGCCUGAGCAAAUGUGGUGCCGGUGGAACGAAAGCCUUCGGAGGAGUUAGCGAAAUUCCAAUGUGUGCGGAUCGGCAAAAAAUGCGAAAUAACCCUUUAACCGUACAUUUGACAGAUACGCCCGCACUGACUUUUUUGUAGAUCUUAUUGAGAUACAUGUGUGUGUCAAUUUGUGUGUCAUUUUGACAAAGCGUACCGGCGUGACAGUGAAUAGUGUGAAUUUUCACCUUAGGGGGCGCUAUGGAGCCAUUUUGCAUUUUCUUGUUUGGGCGACUUCGGAAUAUCAAAUUUUUCACCAGGCCCGGUCGUCCUGCCAAAUUUCAUGAGUUUUCGCCAGUGGGAAGUGGGCCAUUUUCCAGUUCAAAGGGGAGGAAAAAUAAUAACUAGGGCCCCGUUGGGGCACUGGCGGGCCCGAGCCGUGUCGCACCCCCCCCAACGCGCUGCCUCCCCGUCCCAUUCGUGUCCUCUGGCCAUCGCCCUCUCUGGUAACGCCCAUCACUGCAAAGACCCUUUUCCUUCAUCGGCGUUUGCUGUUCUUCCUGCCAGUGCGUGUUGCUUUCACUUACACUUGCCACAGCCAGCCUCGUGAGUGCCUAGCCUAUUGGAUAUCACUGUCACCUACACAGGACAGUCAUUACCUUUCUAUUAAUACUUUGUUUUUAAUUUCACAUUAAUUUCCAUAUUGUAUAAACAACUUGAAAAAACUUGAGCCCCUGCCCCUGUAUUAUCAUGUGCACGUCCCUGUUCUAGCUCCAAGGUGAAUCUUCACUGCUCAUGUUCUCCUCAGAAGCAGUCACCUCACUCCCCUCAGGUUACUGUACACAUGCACCAACUGCCUGCUUCAGGUUUGGAUGGAGCUUCAUGGUUGUCUUUUGGAGAAAUGAGCAGUCAAGUUGUGUUUGAAAUUUGAUUUUUUUCAGGGGCAAAAGGAAGCCUCUGCAUUCUUGUCAAAUAUGUAAAUAGCAUGUUUUUGCAGGUGCUAAAAAACAGACUCUGAGUGUGUGUGUGUGUGUGUGUGUGUGUGUGUGUGUGUGUGUGCGUGUGUGUGUCUGUGUGUGUGUGUGUGUGUAUCCUGCAGUACUCUGAGAAGAAUAAUAAGCAUAUUUCUGAGGUGAAUUUUGAAGAUUCAUCUGAGAGUUAGGUUUGAUUCGAUUCGAUUGACGCUCCCCAGCGUUCAAGCCACAUGACAUAUUUAACCGGAUGUAGCUGCAAUACGGAGCCUCGUUAACUCUCCGUUUCAACUUAUCUCAAAAGUGAGGACCUCAACCUAUAUACCAGUUUUUAAAUUGUGUUGAUAGGCCAAAUAAAACCAGAGUUAUGAUAAAUUAUGUCCGCGAUACUUUUUUUCUGCUUAUUUUGAUCACGUUCGGCGCUCGAUCGCGCUGUAUGAGACAGGAAAACAUAGCAUGCACACAUUAGCGACAGGUCUUACAGGCGGAAAAGGCUUGCCAAAAGAAAAAAAAAACACACCACAACAUCUCUCCUAUUGGUGGAAAACUUCACCACAACAACCAAUCCAAAAUUAUAUGGUGACUGAUUGACAAGGGGCGGGCGCUUACGUUCUUCCUGCAACAUGAGAAGGGAGGGAGGGACUCUCAGCAGGGAUGCAGUCUGGGACACGUAGUUGCAAACCUAGCGACUUUGUUGUUAGAUUCAAUUACUUUUCAGACCCCCUAACGACUUUUUUUUUGAAAGAAAGGGACUUUUAUCGACUUCUUCUGGAGUUUAGAGACUCUGACAUGAAGCAGGCUUUCCUUACUGAGGAGUUAGCAACGCUGCUAAGGGUGCAGAGCCACACAUGCGCUCCGAGCUCUGCAUGGGAGACUGAAGCUGACAGAGCUGCAGCAGUUAGCAGGUUUCACCCUCAGAGACCACCAGGGGUUCAUGUUGAGGCAUUUUCAGUUUUUGUUUUUUUUGCCAUAGACUGUCAGCACAAUCUGCAGUUACACUAACAAAAAUGCUGCAAAAAACAAAGAAUUAUGGAAAAAUUACACAUGGACUGACAUAGAGGAGGAUCUACACAAGUUUUUUACAUCAUGUUUUACAUCAUGCAUCAUUUACAUCAUGUUUUUUUGUAGUGGCAUAAAUAAAAAGUGACAUUUGUGAGCCUAUACAGUUUUUUGUAAAUAAUUUUACAAAGAACGCCUGGGCCAUUGCCUGCAUUUUGAUGUAAAUAGAGGUAAAUUAUUAUGUUCUUUGUUAAAAAUUUGCAUAUGUUUUGAAGUUUACAAUUUUUAUUUGAAGUUUAAGUUUUAAAAACAGUUCAUCACACAUAUUUGUGGUUUAAUUUCACAUUAAUUUCCAUAUUGUAUAAAUGACUGGAAAAAACUUGAGCCCCUGCCCCUGUAUAAUCAUGUGCACGUCCCUGUUCUAGCUCCAAGGUGAAUCUUCACUGCUCAUGUUCUCCUCAGAAGCAGUCACCUCACUCCCCUCAGGUUACUGUACACAUGCACCAACUAUCUGCUUCAGGUUUGGAUGGAGCUUCAUGGUUGUCUUUUGGAGAAAUGAACAGUCAAGUUGUGUUUGAAAUCUGAUUUUUUUCAGGGGCAAAAGGAAGCCUCUGCAUUCUUGUCAAAUAUGUAAACAGCAUGUUUUUGCAGGUGCUAAAAAACAGACUCUGAGUGUGUGUGUGUGUGUGUGUGUGUGUGUGUGUGUGUGUGUGUGUGUGUGUGUGUGUGUGUAUAUAUGUGUGUGUAUCCUGCAGUACUCUGUACUCCUGCAGUGGCCAAAAAGACUUUUAAGAAUGUGGAUUUUUGGGUCAUCUUUGGCGCCCCCUAGAACUGCAGUACUCUGUACUCCUGCAGUGGCCAAAAUGACUUUUAAGAAUGUGGAUUUUUGGGUCAUCUUUGGCGCCCCCUAGAACGUAAACCGUGGGGUGCAGCGUCAUGAUUUUUACAACUUUGAAUGGGCAUGGGGUGUAGAUUGCCCUGAGCAAAUUUGGUAUCAGUGGGACGAAAGUCUUAGGAGGAGAUAGCCACAUUCCAAUGUGUGCGAAUCGGCAAAAAAUGCGAAAUAGCCCUUUAACCUUACAUUAUACAGAUACGCGCUUUUUGACUUUUUUGUAGAUCUAAUUGAGAUACACAUGAUUGUCAAUUUUUGUGUCAAUAUGACAAAGCGUUCAGGCGUGACACUCAACAAUGUGUAUUUUCAUGUAAGGGGACAAGAAAAAAAGGACUUUUUUCUCCUGCCAUGGGGGGGCGCUCUUUUGGGGAGUAAAAAUUCCUUCACAAAUGUGUUGAUGGCUGGACAUUGCAUCAUCCUAGAAAACUUGGAGGCCAGUGAGGACAAAAAUAAAAAGUUAUAAGACUUUUAAAUAUGUGGAUUUUUGGGUUAUCUUUGGCGCCCCCUAGAACCUAAACCGUGGGGUGCAGCGUCAUGAUUUGAAUAACUUUUAAUGGCCAUGGGGUGUAGAUUGGCCUGAGCAAAUGUGGUGCCGGUGGAACAAAAGCCUUCGGAGGAGUUAGCGAAAUUCCAAUGUGUACGGAUCGCCAAAAAAUGCGAAAUAGCCCUUUAACCGUACAUUUGACAGAUACGCCCGCACUGACUUUUUUGUAGAUCUUAUUGAGAUACAUAUGUGUGUCAAAUUUUGUGUCAUUUUGACAAAGCGUACAGGCGUGACAGUCAAUAGUGUGAAUUUCCACCUUAGGGGGCGCUAUGGAGCCAUUUUGCAUUUUAUUGUUUGGGCGACUUCAGAAUAUCAAAUUUUUCACCAGGCCCGGUCGUCCUGCCAAAUUUCAUGAGUUUUCGCCAGUGGGAAGUGGGCCAUUUUCCAGUUCAAAGGGGAGGAAAAAUAAUAAUAAUAAUAAUAAUAACAAACUAGGACCCCGUUGGGGCACUGGCGGGCCCGAGCCGUGUCCCCCCCCCCAACGCGCUGCCUCCCCGUCCCAUUUGUGUCCUCUGGCCAUCGCCCUCUCUGGUAACGCCCAUCACUGCAAAGACCCUUUUCCUUCAUCGGCGUUUGCUGUUCUUCCUGCCAGUGCGUGUUGCUUUCACUUACACUUGCCACAGCCAGCCUCGUGAGUGCCUAGCCUAUUCGAUAUCACUGUCGCCUACACAGGACAGUCAUUACCUUUCUAUUAAUACUUUGUGUUUUAAUUUCACAUUAAUUUCCAUAUUGUAUAAACGACUGGAAAAAACUUGAGCCCCUGCCCCUGUAUAAUCAUGUGCAUGUCUCUGUUCUAGCUCCAAGGUGAAUCUUCACUGCUCAUGUUCUCCUCAGAAG